ACAUCUUUGUUAGCCUCCGGUGAACGGGAAGUCCGGUGCGAAUCCGGCGCGGCCCCGCCACUGUGAGCCCGACGAGUCCGCCGAUGCCACUGGGUAUGCCUGGGAAGGGGCGGAUAGGAUGAAGGCCAGCCAGGAGACCGGCCGGGGGCUGAAGGGAAGG
rnacentral:ncRNA from 2 species